UGCUCAUGCCUCUGUUCCCGUGCUCUCUUCAAAACCCUAGGAGCUUCAUUAUAUCAUUACUUUCAAAUCCCUAAUAUUUUGGCCUUCAUCUCCUUCAAAUCCCUCAGUCAUCCUCUGAAAAUGCAGAAAAGAGUUCGAAAACCUCGUCAGCAUGAGAAAGGGAUUCCGUUACGAAGACAUUGUUUCGUUGAUAAUUUAUUGCCAUUGGGUUUGAAGACGCUAGCGAGGGUGAAUCGAUUGCAGAGAUGACGGUGGCGCUCGUGGACAAGGUUAUCGGUGUCUGCAUGAUGGAAAAGAAGAGCUAUGAAGAUUAUCCACUGGUGGGGUACAAUCAAAACUCUAUGAAAAGACUAACAUAUAAGAAAGUUGGGAUGGGAGUCUUUUAGAAGGAGGAAACAGCAGAGAAACCAUUGUAGCAGAUUACAAGGAGAUAUCAAGUUCAAGAAAAGGACUAUAUUCUGGUUUAGCCGACGUUGAUUCUCACACAUGCCCUACUGAUGAUGCCAAAUCGCUGACUGGCUCUUGCGCAAAUCAAAUUACUGUUUUGCAAAUAUCACCUGCAAAUGAAAAAUAAGAUUUAUGUUUCAUAAUAAAAGUAAAAUGAUGCACUCAAUUUUUCUCAUUCUAGUAAGAAACACGAUGAGGGGGCAUAUCGUCAUGGGGAUGGAAUCUAAGUGUGCAUCAUUCAACCUCAUGCUUUGUUUCCAAGAGCAUGGAUAGUUUAUGAUGGUAUAGUCAUUUAUAUUUAUAUAAUUGGUUGACGCAUAUUUAGAAAUGUAUUUGUAAUGUUAUACAGUCAUCUGUUUAUAGUGAAGGUGAAUGUUCAUAAAUCUAUCAGAAUUACUUAAUAUUAAUAUUUUGUGUGA